AUUAACAAAGGAAUAUACAUAAGCUUAUCUUGAAGAGGAUUGGAGUAUUCAAUUGAAGAAAUAUGAUACACCUGUUCUUCAGAACAAAAGGGCAAGGCAUAUUCAAAUAAACUUAAACAAAUUGAGUAUUCCUUCAUUAAUUGAUGUGAAAGCAGAGAGAUAUAAAGCUUGUGAGGCUGCUGGGAAAUAAUUUCAAAAAUACUGUGCAAGUCUUACAUUUCUCAACAAUUGAGAUUAAAAAAUAAGGCUAUUUAAUCAACCGCAUCCAAAAAUGCGUGCUAGUCUAAGCCGAACAAUUUGGCAUUCCUUUGUUCAGAGAUAGAAGUAGGUCUUGAUUU